rnacentral:rRNA from 1 species
GAUGAACGCUGGCGGCGUGCCUAAUACAUGCAAGUCGAGCGAACAGACGAUGAGCUUUCUCCUCUGACUUUAGCGGCGAACGGGGAAUUAACACGUGGAUAACCUACCUAUAAGUCUGGGAUACCUUCUGGAAACGGGAGCUAAUACCGGAGAAUAUAUUGAACCGCAUGGUGCGAUAGUGAAAGACUGUUUUGCUUGCACUUAUGGAUGGGGCCGUGCCGCAUUAGCUAGUUGGUGAGGUAAUGGCGUUCCAAGGCCACGAUGCGGAGGCGACCUGAGAGGGUGAUCGGCCGCCAUGGAGGUGAGACACGGUCGAGACGCCUACGGGAGGCAGCAGUAGGGAAUCUUACGCCAUGGUCGGAAGACGGACGGAGCAACGCCGCGUCGUGGAUGAAGGUCUUCUGAUCGUAAAAAUCUGUUAUUAGGGAAGAACAAAUGUGUACGUAACUAUGCACGUUUGGACGGUGCCGAAUCAGAAAGCGACGGCUAACUACGUA